rnacentral:sRNA from 1 species
CUGACUGCCCUGGAGACUGAAGCCUGUUAUUUAUCCACAGAACAGAACUGCAUGGAGAGCAGCAGGGUAACGUAACCUGCCCUGUGUGCCAACGUGCUCCAACCCUGAACUGGCAAGAGGUUGGAUCAGUUUCCUCACCUGUUCAAUACUUCACUUCU